UACGAAGGGGGCUAGCGUUGUUCGGAAUCACUGGGCGUAAAGCGCACGUAGGCGGCUCUUUAAGUCAGGGGUGAAAUCCCGGGGCUCAACCUCGGAACUGCCUUUGAUACUGGGGAUCUCGAGUCCGGGAGAGGUGAGUGGAAUUGCGAGUGUAGAGGUGAAAUUCGUAGAUAUCGGAAGGAACACCUGUGGCGAAAGCGGCUCACUGGACCAUUACUGACGCUGAUGCACGAAAGCUAGGGGAGCAAACAGG
rnacentral:rRNA from 1 species